UCAUGUUUGAAACAACAUUCAUUUCAUCCAUAUAGGUGAGAUGUUCCAUUGCAUUGCAACAACCUCUUAGGAACAAAGAGAAGGCUUGCAGUGCUUUCACAUCUUCGGCUUUGAUCAUUGUCCAGGUAAAUGCUUUGUUCAUGUAUGCAGUGGCGAUCUUAUGUUCAUUACCAAAGUGCUCUUUAAGCAGCUGUUUUGCCCUUUGAUAACCUUGAGCUGGAGGCAGAUGUUGGCAGCUGCGCACUAGGUCCUGUGGUUGUCCUCUAGUGUAUUGCUCUAGGUAAUGCAGGCAGUCACUUUCAUCAUUAGUUUUCCGCUCUACUCCUCUUUCAAAUGCACGGAUGAAAGCUUCAAACUGCAAUGGGUCACCGUCAUAAACAGGAAUGUCUCUUGGAGGUAAAGUAGAAGUGAGAUGUUGUUGAGCCAGCAUAGCAGUGUUGUCAUUUUGCCUCUGGAUUAGGUUAUAGAUGUCACCUUGAUUACCAUUGUUGAUUACAGGUGGUGUGAUGUCAACAUGUCCCUGCACAUGUGUCUGUAUACUUUGUCUGGGAAUAGAGGUUUGGGCUUGAUGAGGCAAGAAUUCAGUGGCCUGUGCGUUAAAUCUUGCUGUAGGGUUUCUGUAGUAAGAGCUCAUCCCAUCUGAUGCUCUAGAGGUGUGUCUUGAUCCCAUGCUGAGCACGUUUAGCCUGGCAUUGGCUUCUGCCAGCUUAGUUUGUAUAUCCAGUUGUUCCUUUUUCCGUUUCACCUGUUCUUCCUGUUGUUCCAACUGUUGUUUCUGUUGUUGUUUCAACUGUUGUUUUAAUUGUUCCCCUUCUACAUCAAGCUCAUGUUGUUUGUUCAGUGCUGCCGCCCUUUCGAUUAAAGCUGCCCUUUCUGCCUGGGCUUUAAUUCGAGCAGAAGAGGUAGAUGAUGCGUGUGAUGAACCAGGUUUGUAUUUUGACUGAGGGUGUGAUGCAUUUGAAAUGCUGUCAUCAGGUCCGAUGUCAUCUGAGCUGACACUUUGUUCUAUUGCACUUCCCACAAUAGAGUGUCUAAUUGCCUGUCCACUCUCAGAUAACCACACAUUUGCAUCUUGUAUAAAUCCAUCAAAUAUAUGCAUCUUUUCUUGCAGCCACUGCCUUUGCUUUCCCAUUUCUUCUUCAGGCAGUUGAAGAUUGCAGUCCAACAGCGCCAUCUUGUGACGUGACGUCAGAUGUCACAGACAUGAUUAAUGUUCACUGUCCCUUUAAGUUUCGUUCUCAGGAAUUGUCCGUUAGCUGACAGCGCGCUGUUUCAAACAGCUGACAAUGUUGCAGCACCACAUCCAUUUACUAAGCCAUUGUCCAAUACAGCUUAAUAUCUCCAAAACAAUCUACUUAUCAUGCUGCACGGUGCACAUACCCGGCCGCUUUCCCAGUCCUCUCUCAGCCU